GACGAACGCUGGCGGCGUGCUUAACACAUGCAAGUCGAGCGGAAAGGCCCUUCGGGGUACUCGAGCGGCGAACGGGUGAGUAACACGUGAGCAACCUGCCCUGGACUUUGGGAUAACCCUCGGAAACGGGGGCUAAUACCGGAUAUUACCUUUGCCCGCAUGGGUGUUGGUGGAAAGUUUUUCGGUCUGGGAUGGGCUCGCGGACUAUCAGCUUGUUGGUGGGGUGAUGGCCUACCAAGGCGACGACGGUUAGCCGGCCUGAGAGGGCGACCGGCCACACUGGGACUGAGACACGGCCCAGACUCCUACGGGAGGCAGCAGUGGGGAAUAUUGCACAAUGGGCGGAAGCCUGAUGCAGCGACGCCGCGUGAGGGAUGACGGCC
rnacentral:rRNA from 1 species